rnacentral:rRNA from 1 species
GGGGCGGGGGCACGGGGGGCCUACGGGAGGCAGCAGUGGGGAAUAUUGCACAAUGGGCGCAAGCCUGAUGCAGCGACGCCGCGUGAGGGAUGACGGCCUUCGGGUUGUAAACCUCUUUCAAUAGGGACGAAGCGCAAGUGACGGUACCGUACC